rnacentral:rRNA from 1 species
GACGAACCGUGCGAACGUUAUUCGGAAUCACUGGGCUUAAAGCGCGUGUAGGCGGGCCGCCGCGUCGUCUGCUGAAAUCCCCCGGCUCAACCGGGGAACGGGCACCGAUACGGGCGGCCUCGAGGGGGGUAGGGGGGUCUGGAACUUCCGGCGGAGCGGUGAAAUGCGUUGAGAUCGGAAAGAACACCAACGGCGAAAGCACUCUGCUGGGCCGACACUGACACUGAGAGACGAAAGCUAGGGGAGCGAAUGGG